UAGAGUUUGAUCCUGGCUCAGAACGAACGCUGGCGGCAGGCUUAACACAUGCAAGUCGAACGCACCUUUCGGGGUGAGUGGCAGACGGGUGAGUAACGCGUGGGAACGUGCCCUUCAGUUCGGAAUAACCCAGGGAAACUUGGGUUAAUACCGGAUACGUGCGAGAGCAGAAAGAUUUAUCGCUGAAGGAUCGGCCCGCGUCUGAUUAGCUGGUUGGUGAGGUAAUGGCUCACCAAGGCGACGAUCAGUAGCUGGUCUGAGAGGAUGAUCAGCCACAUUGGGACUGAGACGCGGCCCAAACUCCUACGGGAGGCAGCAGUGGGGAAUAUUGGACAAUGGGCGCAAGCCUGAUCCAGCCAUGCCGCGUGAGUGAUGAAGGCCUUAGGGUUGUAAAGCUCUUUCGUCCGGGACGAUAAUGACGGUACCGGAAGAAGAAGCCCCGGCUAACUUCGUGCCAGCAGCCGCGGUAAUACGAAGGGGGCUAGCGUUGUUCGGAAUCACUGGGCGUAAAAGGCGCGUAGGCGGCUUUAUAAGUCGGGGGUGAAAGCCUGUGGCUCAACCACAGAAUUGCCUUCGAUACUGUAGAGCUUGAGACCGGAAGAGGUUAGUGGAACUGCGAGUGUAGAGGUGAAAUUCGUAGAUAUUCGCAAGAACACCAGUGGCGAAGGCGGCUGACUGGUCCGGAUCUGACGCUGAGGCGCGAAAGCGUGGGGAGCAAACAGGAUUAGAUACCCUGGUAGUCCACGCCGUAACGAUGAAUGCCAGCCGUUGGGCAGCUUGCUGCUCAGUGGCGCAGCUAACGCUUUAAGCAUUCCGCCUGGGGAGU
rnacentral:rRNA from 1 species